rnacentral:lncRNA from 1 species
ACAAGCAGAUGAGGAUGAUGAUGGGCUCUAGCUGCAGUCUGGCUCCACUGGUCUGGUGUAUAACAGGAUCUCUGGAGGCUGUUUGUAACUGUGGUCACAAAAAUCAAUGUUCUGGGAGAACGAGAAGCAGCUCCAUUUUUUGGAGGCCCUUUACAUAGCUCAAGGUCUGGGUCCCAGGGUCCACCUUCAUGUUCCACCAAUGAGUUUGUUCACAGGGGGUAGAG